rnacentral:rRNA from 1 species
UACAGAGGGGGCAAGCGUUAUUCGGAAUUACUGGGCGUAAAGCGCACGUAGGCGGCUUUCUAAGUCGGGGGUGAAAUCCUGGAGCUCAACUCCAGAACUGCCUUCGAUACUGGAAAGCUCGAGUCCGGGAGAGGUGAGUGGAACUGCGAGUGUAGAGGUGAAAUUCGUAGAUAUUCGCAAGAACACCAGUGGCGAAGGCGGCUCACUGGCCCGGUACUGACGCUGAGGUGCGAAAGCGUGGGGAGCAAACAGG